rnacentral:rRNA from 1 species
CUACGGGCGGCACCAGUGGGGAAUAUUGCACAAUGGGCGCAAGCCUGAUGCAGCCAUGCCGCGUGUAUGAAGAAGGCCUUCGGGUUGUAAAGUACUUUCAGCGGGGAGGAAGGGAGUAAAGUUAAUACCUUUGCUCAUUGACGUUACCCGCAGAAGAAGCACCGGCUAACAUCCGUGCCAGCAGCCGCGGUAAUACGGAGGGUGCAAGCGUUAAUCGGAAUUACUGGGCGUAAAGCGCACGCAGGCGGUGUGUUAAGUCAGAUGUGAAAUCCCCGGGCUCAACCUGGGAACUGCAUCUGAUACUGGCAAGCUUGAGUCUCGUAGAGGGGGGUAGAAUUUCAGGUGUAGCGGUGAAAUGCGUAGAGAUCUGGAGGAAUACCGGUGGCGAAGGCGGCCCCCUGGACGAAGACUGACGCUCAGGUGCGAAAGCGUGGGGAGCAAACAGGAUUAGAUACCCCCGUAGUC